rnacentral:rRNA from 1 species
UACGAAGGGGGCGAGCGUUGUUCGGAAUUACUGGGCGUAAAGGGCGCGUAGGCGGUGUGUCAAGUCAGGCGUGAAAGCCCCGGGCUCAACCUGGGAACGGCGCUUGAGACUGGCACGCUCGAGUUCGGGAGAGGAUGGUGGAAUUCCCAGUGUAGAGGUGAAAUUCGUAGAUAUUGGGAAGAACACCGAUGGCGAAGGCAGCUAUCUGGACCGACACUGACGCUGAGGCGCGAAAGCGUGGGGAGCAAACAGG